rfam:Homo sapiens chromosome 8, GRCh38 reference primary assembly.
AUACUUACCUGGCAGGGGAGACACCAUGAUCACAAAGGUGGUUUUCCCAGGGCAAGACUCAUCCAUUGCACUCCAGAUGUGACCUCUAUGAUUUCCCCAAAUGUGAGAAACUUGACUGUAUAAUUUGUGAUUAUAAUUUUUUAAUUAAAAAAU